rnacentral:rRNA from 1 species
GAUUAUGGCUCAGGAUGAACGCUAGCUACAGGCUUAACACAUGCAAGUCGAGGGGCAGCAUGAUCAAAGCUUGCUUGAUUGAUGGCGACCGGCGCACGGGUGAGUAACGCGUAUCCAACCUUCCCUAUAGUAGUGGAUAGCCCGGCGAAAGUCGGAUUAAUACACUAUGUUGUAUUUAGAGGACAUCUGAAGAAUACCAAAGGUUUACCGCUAUAGGAUGGGGAUGCGUCUGAUUAGAUAGUAGGCGGGGCAACGGCCCACCUAGUCGACGAUCAGUAGGGGUUCUGAGAGGAAGGUCCCCCACAUUGGAACUGAGACACGGUCCAAACUCCUACGGGAGGCAGCAGUGAGGAAUAUUGGUCAAUGGACGGGAGUCUGAACCAGCCAAGUAGCGUGCAGGAUGACGGCCCUAUGGGUUGUAAACUGCUUUUAUACGGGGAUAAAGUGAGCCACGUGUGGCUUUUUGUAGGUACCGUAUGAAUAAGGACCGGCUAAUUCCGUGCCAGCAGCAGC